GUAACGGGGUGUUAGGGCACGACACCGGAGAGGGAGCCUGAGAAACGGCUACCACAUCCAAGGAUGGCAGCAGGCGCGCAAAUUACCCAAUCCCGACACGGGGAGGUAGUGACAAUAAAUAACAAUACGGGGCUCUUUUGGGUCUCGUAAUUGGAAUGAGUACAAUUUAAAUCUCUUAACGAGGAACAAUUGGAGGGCAAGUCUGGUGCCAGCAGCCGCGGUAAUUCCAGCUCCAGUAGCGUAUAUUAAAGUUGUUGCAGUUAAAAAGCUCGUAGUUGAAUUUCGGGGUUAGUAGGUUGGUCAUGCCUCUGGUAUGUACUGGUCUCACUGAUUCCUCCUUCCUGAUGAACCGUAAUGCCAUUAAUUUGGUGUUGCGGGGAAUUUGGACUGUUACUUUGAAAAAAUUAGAGUGUUUAAAGCAAGCUAACGCUUGAAUACAUUAGCAUGGAAUAAUGAAAUAGGACGUUCGAUCCUAUUUUGUUGGUUUCUAGGAUUGACGUAAUGAUUAAUAGGGAUAGUUGGGGGCAUUAGUAUUCAAUUGUCAGAGGUGAAAUUCUUGGAUUUAUUGAAGACUGACUACUGCGAAAGCAUUUGCCAAGGAUGUUUUAAUUAAUCAAGAACGAAAGUUAGGGGAUCGAAGACGAUCAGAUACC
rnacentral:rRNA from 1 species